rnacentral:rRNA from 1 species
CCUACGGGAGGCAGCAGUGAGGAAUAUUGGUCAAUGGUCGUGAGCCUGAACCAGCCAAGUAGCGUGAAGGAUGACUGCCCUACGGGUUGUAAACUUCUUUUAUAAAGGAAUAAAGUGAGGCACGUGUGCUGUUUUGUAUGUACUUUAUGAAUAAGGAUCGGCUAACUCCGUGCCAGCAGCCGCGGUAAUACGGAGGAUCCGGGCGUUAUCCGGAUUUAUUGGGUUUAAAGGGAGCGUAGAUGGGUUGUUAAGUCAGUUGUGAAAUUCUGCGGCUCAACCGUAAAAUUGCAAUUGAUACUGGCAUUCUUGAGUACAGUUGAGGUAUGCGGAAUUCGUGGUGUAGCGGUGAAAUGCUUAGAUAUCACGAAGAACUCCGAUUGCGAAGGCAGCUUACUACACUGCCACUGACGUUGAUGCUCGAAAGUGUGGGUAUCAAACAGGAUUAGAUACCCGAGUAGUC